rnacentral:rRNA from 1 species
CAGCAGCCGCGGUAAUACGGAGGGAGCUAGCGUUGUUCGGAAUUACUGGGCGUAAAGCGCGCGUAGGCGGUUACUCAAGUCAGAGGUGAAAGCCCGGGGCUCAACCCCGGAACUGCCUUUGAAACUAGGUGACUAGAAUCUUUGAGAGGUCAGUGGAAUUCCGAGUGUAGAGGUGAAGUUCGUAGAUAUUCGGAAGAACACCAGUGGCGAAGGCGACUGACUGGACAAGUAUUGACGCUGAGGUGCGAAAGCGUGGGGAGCAAACAGGAUUAGAUACCCCUGUAGUCCCUGUCUCUUAUAU